GCCAGUGUGGCAUAGUGGUUAUAGUGUCAGACUAGGACCUGCAAUACUGUGGUUCAACCCCACGCUAAGCCA